ACCAAAGCACGUUCGGAAUGCACUUGAAAACGUAUCUAACCAAUCCAAUCACAUGAUUCACCAUUACACCAGGACACUUGGCCAUCCAAGAUUGGUAAAAAUUCUAGCGAAAAUCUACAGCCGGGAACUUCAGCAGACGCUGGACCCCAUGAAGAACGUGGUGACCACCAUCGGAGCUUACGAGGCUAUGUACGCAGCUUUCCAGGCUCUGGUCAACCCAGGCGAUGAGGUUGGUAACGAACGAACAAACUAACAAAACAAACACACGUCAAACAAUGAACAAAAGACAAAACAACGAAAAAGCAAGCAAGCCUAAAAACAAACCGAAAACAAACGAGAAAACAAAGAAUCAAAAAGCAAACAAGCAAACCUUAUGUUGUUAUAGUCAUAAUUAUUAAUAUGACAGUGUAUGAAAAAUGGGUAUUUUUUUCUUCAGGUAAUCCUUCUCGAGCCGUGUUACGAGCCGUACAAGGUUGUGGCGGGACUAUCGGGGGCAACGGUGCGCUAUGUUCCCUUAAUUCCAAAAGAAGGAUCAAACGAAAGUGACGACUGGAAAUUUAACCUUGAAAACCUGAAGGCUGCAUUUAAUGAGAAAACAAAAGCCAUUGUUGUUAACAGUCCUAUGAACCCACUGGGGAAGGUUUUUACCAGAGAGGAGCUACAGGAGAUAGCAGAUCUUUGUGUUCAAUUCGAUGUACUUUGUUUCUCUGACGAGGUUUACGAAUGGCUAAUCUAUGGGGAGAGACACUUUGUUCGAAUGGCCACUCUCAAUGGGAUGGCUGACCGAACGAUUACAAUGGGCAGUGCUGGCAAAACAUUCAGUGUCACGGGGUGGAAAAUUGGGUGGGCUAUCGGCCCCGCCCACCUCAUCUCCGCCAUGCACCUGUUCCAUCAUUUAGCUGUCCGUGGAACACCGUCUGUGCUACAGGAAGCGCUAGCAAUAGCUUUUGAAACAGAGGAAAGUCGAAUUGGAAAUCCAGACUGCUACUUCAGUUUGCUGUCCAAGCAGAUGGAACAGAAACGGAACGAACUGUCAACUUACCUGAGUGACGCUGGUCUCCAACCUAUCACACCCGGGGGAGGCUACUUCAUUGUGGCUGACAUCUCAUCUAUAGAUACUGAGGACGGUGUAAAUCCGAACAGCCAGGAAGCAUACGAUUCACAGUUUGUAAAAUGGGCUAUAAAGGAGAAGAAACUUACCCUGAUACCCCUGUCUAUAUUCUACAGCGAAGAACACAGACAUUACGGAGACAAAUUUGUUCGAGUUUGUUUUGCAAAGACAGAAGAUUCGCUUCAGAAAGCUAGAGGAAUAUUGAAAAACUGGAACCAUACACACGAAAAUGGCGUAACCAAUGGUCAUAAUGGACACAAUGGGGUUCUUAAUGGCAACGGAAUGAAUGGAAUAAAAUAGAAUUUACAUCGUCCAAGAAAUACAUGACAGUUUCUGUUUAAACCGUUGUAAAAGGAUCUCUUAAGGAAAAGCACAAGAAAUGACAGUAUCUGUUAGGAUCUCUUACGGAAAAGCAAUGCCGUAAGGAAAAACAUAUCUCUUUAUGCUCCUGUGGGAUUUAUGGCUUCGGGGAAGAAUAUAUAUAUUGAAAAAUGACUAUGAGGAUCUCACGAGGAACACCUGUCAAACAUUCCGACCAGACAUCAAAAUUUGUUGGGUUUUUUUCAUGCUUUAUCAUCAUAAUGGCUUUAGGUUGUUACAAAUGUAAUAUAAGAUUAUACAAUCAGAUUUAUCAAACACUAUACCUUACUUUACAUAAUAUAUAUUAUAUCUUCGUUAUUUUUUAAAAAUAAAUUGUUAUACAAUGAUUUUUCAUUGGAAUAAAACUUGAUAUUUUC
rnacentral:misc_RNA from 1 species